UGUAUCAAGAGUUGUAAAUUAAAAUUCUAUACUACAAUUUGUCUGAAAGUUAACACUUCUUUUGUGUGUACAGGCAUAAUAAAAUCUUUUGUACAAUUUGGGAAUCAAAUGUUGAUUCUUAUCUCUCUGAUUUCAAAAAGAGUGAAGGAACCAUUCCGAUUGUUAUUGUUCAAAUUUGCAAGCCUAAUUUAUUUAGAGGUUUCAUUUCUCUUACAUUUGUCUGUUUGUUGUUUGUUUUGCUUCUUUGUUUAUCUGACAUAAACUGUAUUCCUCAAAUGUGUUUUUAUGUAUUAGGUGAAAUGAGAAUAUCUACACACUUUCAAGCAUCAAAGGUUCUAAUUAAUCCAAAAUUAGAUGAAGUUACUGAUUUUAGGAAAAGAAUUGAAGGUGAUGAGAGAUUUAUUCCCAAUGGUUCUUUGGGUCCAGUUGGACCAAACAUUAGCAGUGAGUUUGAAAAGAAAAUCUUACAGUGAAGUCUCUUGAGGAUUUAGAAUGUCUAGAGUUCAUUUCUGCCAUUUAUUCACAGGAUGGUUUAUAUUGGGUUUUUGGAAAGAUUGUAUCUGUGGAAUCACAUUAUGAUACAUGGUAUUACAUGUCAUGUAAGACCUGUUUUAAGAAGGUUGAGGCAGAGGAUAACAAGUUUAACUGUUCAGUAUGUAAGAGCACUUAUUCCCAUGCUUAUAGAAGGUAUAAAUUUAUUGUCAAUAUUGUUGAUGAUACAAGCAACACUUCACUUUUAGUGUGGGAUAGGGAGGGGAUCCAACUGAUAGGAAAAAAGGUUUAUGAAUUUGUAGAGACUGAUAAUCAGGUUUUGCCAAUGGAGGACAUUGCUAAAGAAAUUGAAAAGAAGCUGGUGGGGCAGAGUGUGUUGUUCAAGCUCCAAUUCAGAAAUCAGCUGGAGUAUUACAAAUCUUAUCCACACACUGUGAACAAAGUGUGCAAUAUUCCUCAUGUUGUUGAGAAAAGCUUGGUUCGCAAGAAGUUAGGAAAGAAUUAAAGUUAUCUGAUCUCAUCUUUGGUUCUGAUCUUCGUGAGGUUUAUCAGAAAAGUAUUGUUACUCCAGAUUUGUCAAGUGUAACAAUUGAGAUUAAUCAUGAAUUCAACAUUGAAGGGUCUGUUAAGAGAUGCUUGGAGGCUGAUUUUAAUUGCUGUGAUGAUAUUGUUGGCUCUCAGAAGAACAAGAAUAAAAAAGUCAGCAAGGAGUAUUAGUUUUUGAGUCAUUUUAGGUGUUUUUGUGCCAUGGAUUCCUACAUUUUGAUUAAAUGGAAGAGUGGAAUGCUCAUAUUAUCUUUUUUGGAUGUUAGUUUUGUUGGCAGAACAUUGUAUGAGCAUAUUUUGGUCUACUCGCUUUAGCUUAAUGAUCUUUGUUCAGCUUUAUGUAAUCCAUUAAUUCCAAGGUUACUUUUUAUUUCA